CUCCCCGUCAGCGUUGAGCCCCAGGACGGCGCAGAGCGCGCGGAAGUCGGCGCGCGGCAAGCGGCCCGCCCCGCGGCAGUCCAGGUGAUGGAAGACCUCCUGCAGAUACUGAUCCAGACCCGUGGCCAGCACCACGAUCUCGUUCUCCACGCCGCGGUCCAGCCCGUAGUGGAGCUGAGAAGCCUCCUCUGCAGACUGCUUCCUGAACUCCACCUCCCCUUUCCUAACCAAGAGAGAGGAGGAAACCAACUCGGAAGUGGGUGCAGUCAGCUUUGAGAGCCUGCGCGGAGAGAUGUGUUGGCACCUGCCGUGGGAACCUCUACCCAGCCAUAUUGGAGCAAAAGGCAAACUCAGCUGCCCUUGGAUAGUAAAUAGGCGGACCUUAGGGCACAGCUCUGAUUUUAAAGGUUAAAUCCCAGUUGAAAAGCGUUAUCAUCUUGUUUCCGACAUUAUAGCACCCCAGACCAGGACUUUGUCUUUUUUUUCCAACAAAAUUCUUAAGCAUUUUGUCUAAGGCAUAACUUUAACUGGAAUCAGAGAUCCAAAGCAUUUUGGACAUAUAUACACCUAUAUAUAAUAGUUGUAUGUUAUAUAAAUAUUAUAGCUACUAAAAGCAAUGGCAGUUUAGCAGAGUAAAUAUGCAACAAUUCCACUUCUCAGCUUUGGCCUGGAACAACCCACACAUGCAGCAGCACGUUCAUUCACCACAUCAUUGAUUAUAACGGCUAGAAGCUGAUACCAGCAGGGGUCCAGCUAGGACAGAUCGCCAAACAGGAAGAGGGAGGACUGUGACUGUUAAUACUCACGUGACAAUAACAACACUGCACAAAAUAUUGCUAGAUGUUUUUUACAAGAUGUAUAUAAGGAACUACAGCUACAAAAUAGAUCUGGUUUCUACUUUUGGUGACUGUGAGCCUUUUGUUUUUGGUGCCCUGGCUCUUGCUUAAGUGGGAGAUUGCAUUAUAAUCACUCCAUUUGCAUGUAUGCCGGCAUACAGAAGAGAGCAUCAGACAGAAGAGGGCAUCAGAUCCCGUUAUAGAUGGUUGUGAGCCACCAUGUGGUUGCUGAGAAUUGAACUCAGGACCUCUAGAGGAUCAGCCAGUGCUCUUAACCCCUGAGCCAUCUCUCUAGCCCUAGGAGAUUACAUUUCAGGUGCAGUGCACAGGCCUGUAAUCCCAGCACUCUGGGACUCAGAGGCAGGUGGAUCACUGUGAGUUCAAGGCCAGCCUGGUCUACAAAGUGAGUCUAGGACAGCCUAGGCUAUACAGAGAAACCCUGUCUCAAAGAAACCAACUGGCCAAACAAACAAAAAAAGAUGUACACAACAGAUUUUAGUAUGCUACAGUUGUCUAACAGAAACUACAAUCUAGUACUUCGUUCCGCCCCUCCCACCCCAAGUAAAGCGGGUACUACUCACUCUUAUCCUUCUACUACUGGCAGCUACUGAAUCCAUCCUUGGCCAAUUCUAGACAUCCAUAUAAAUGGAAUCACACAGGAGGUGACCACCUGGGGCUGCAGACAGGGCUCUUUGGUUAAGAGCAUUGGCUGCUCACCCAGAGGACCUGGGUUCAAUUCUCAGCACCCACAAGGCAGCUCACAACCAUCUGUAACUUCAGUCCCAGAGACUCCUGUGCCCUCUUCUGACCUCUUUGCAUGCACAUGGCACACAGACACAAACAAGCAGAAUACCAUACACUUAGAUUAAGAAAGGGGGUCUUCUUUCACUGGAUCCUUCCUUCCUUCCUUCCUUCCUCCUUCCUUCCUUCCUUCCUUCCUUCCUUCCUUCCUUCCUUCCUUCCUUCCUUCCUUCCUUCCUUCCUUCCUUUUUGUAUUUUCCUAGAUCAUCCUUAUGUGAUUUUUUUUUUUGUUUGUUUUUUGUUUUUGGAAAAAAAAAGUGUAGGUAAAAGCAAAACCACUUUUUCUAUUAAAACAAGUGCAGUUAAUACUGAAUAGAACAUAAAAUUUACAUUACUUUUUGGGACAAAGUACUUUUGACAUCAUAGACAUUUCUAGCUUCAGGUUGUGUCCCUAGCCCCAAGUGGGAGAAAACCCUGCAUGCUCACCUACCUAACAUCAUGGUCUCGGCCUCGUUGAUAGAAGCCAAAAGCAGCAGAGUCAGUGCUUACUCCUUUGGCAAAGCACAAGCAAAUUACUUAAACAAGCAACACCCUAGGCUUUCUCAGCUUUUUUUUUAAAUUAACCUAUCGAUUUUUUGUGAAUUUCAUGUCACACAUCCCAAUCCCCCUCACCUCCCUAUGUCUUCAUAUCUGCAACUCUCCCCCCACCAAAAAAAAAAAAGAAAAAUAGAAAUAAUAAUAAAAACAACAAAGAACCACAUCUCCUGGAAGCUGCGGUGUGUCACAGCUGUGUACCAGCUUUUUAAGGAAACAUAUUCAUGUGUUUAUUUGUGUUGUAACACGUCCUGGCACUCAGUUUAGUUCUGAGUGAUACUUCAUUGCACGGAUAGACCACAUUUGCGUUGUUCAUCCAUCAGUUAAUGAGUGUUAGGGUUUGACUAUUGUGCAUGACCC